GGNAGUUAUAAAGGGCUUUCGGUGGAUGCCUUGGUGUCAGGAGGCGAUGAAGGACGUGGUUUAGCUGCGAAAAGCUUCGGUGAGCUGCUUAACAAGCUUUGACCCGGAGAUGUCCGAAUGGGGAAACCCGGCUGGCAUAAUAGUCAGUCACCGCGUAAGCGGAGCGAACGACGGGAACUGAAACAUCUCAGUACCGUCAGGAAAGGAAAGCAACAUGCGACUCCCCUAGUAGCGGCGAGCGAACGGGGACCAGCCUAAACCCGAGGUCUACGGACGUCGGGGGUUUCGGAGCGCCAUUAAGAGUUACAAAUGGCUUUGCUAGCAGAACGAACUGGAAAGUUCGGCCAAAGACGGUGAUAGCCCGGUAUGCGAAAGUGAAGUCACUCAAGGCGUUUCCAGAGUAGAGCGGGACACGUGAAACCCUGCUUGAAGAUGGGAGGACCACCUUCCAAGGCUAAGUACUACCUGGCAACCGAUAGUGAACUAGUACCGUGAGGGAAAGGUGAAAAGAACCCCUGCGAGGGGAGUGAAAUAGUCCCUGAAACCGAUAGUCUACAAGCAGUAGGAGCUCUAUGGAUUUAUCCAGAGCGACUGCGUGCCUUUUGCAUAAUGAGUCGGCGAGUUACUUUAUGUGGCAAGCUUAAGUCGUAAGACGUAGGCGUAGCGAAAGCGAGUCUUAACCGGCGUCCAGUCGCAUGGAGUAGACCCGAAACGAGGUGAUCUACCCAUGGCCAGGUUGAAGCGCGAGUAAAAUCGCGUGGAGGACCGAACCCACCAAGGUUGAAAACUUGGGGGAUGAGCUGUGGGUAGGGGUGAAAGGCCAAUCAAACCUCGAGAUAGCUGGUUCUCCCCGAAAUAUAUUUAGGUAUAGCCUCGCAUGUUCGUCACCGGAGGUAGAGCACUGAAUGGGCUAGGGGCCUCACCAGGUUACCAAACCCAAUCAAACUCCGAAUGCCGGUGUCCGUAAUGCGGGAGUCAGUCCUAGGGUGCUAACGUCCUAGGUCGAGAGGGAAACAACCCAGACCGCCAGCUAAGGUCCCAAAGCACGUGCUAAGUGGAAAAGGUUGUGGAAGCACAUUGACAACCAGGAGGUUGGCUUAGAAGCAGCCACCUUUUAAAGAAAGCGUAAUAGCUCACUGGUCGAGUGAAUCUGCGCCGAAAAUUUAACGGGGCUCAAGCACGUCACCGAAGCUGCGGGUCAACUUACUUUUGUAAGUGGGCGGUAGGGGAGCAUUCCAGCGGCGUUGAAGCAUGACUGUAAGGACAUGUGGAGCUUCUGGAAGAGCAGAUGCCGACAUGAGUAGCGAUAAAGCAGGUGAGAAACCUGCUCGCCGUAAGCCUAAGGUUUCCUGAGCAAGGUUAAUCCGCUCAGGGUUAGUCGGAUCCUAAGCCGAGGCCGUAUGGCGUAGGCGAUGGAAAACAGGUCAAUAUUCCUGUACCGGCUUGUUAAUGUUGAAGCCAGCGGGGACGGAGAAGGAUAGUUCAGCCAGAUAUCGGAUUCUGGUUCAAACUCGUAGGUGGAAGUUCUAGGACCCCAAGGGACAAACGGAACUUCAUAACACCGAGAAGUGAUGAGAGGCCGAAGAUUCGUUCGGACGCCGAACUGAAUAAUUCCAUGCUUCCAAGAAAAGCCGCGGGUCGAGUUAACAGGCUGACCGUACCUCAAACCAACACAGGUAGGCAGGGAGAGCAUCCCAAGGCGCUUGAGAGAACUCUGGUUAAGGAACUAGGCAAAUUAGCACCGUAACUUCGGGAGAAGGUGUGCCCUUGAUGGUGAUGAGCCUCGCGCUCUGAGCUAUUGGGGGUCGCAGUGACCAGGGGGUAGCGACUGUUUACUAAAAACAUAGGUCUCUGCUAAGUCGCAAGACGAUGUAUAGGGACUGACGCCUGCCCGGUGCCGGAAGGUUAAGAGGAGGGGUUAGCUUAGGCGAAGCUCUGAAUCGAAGCCCCGGUAAACGGCGGCCGUAACAAUAACGGUCCUAAGGUAGCGAAAUUCCUUGUCGGGUAA
rnacentral:rRNA from 1 species